rnacentral:rRNA from 1 species
UACGGAGGGUGCGAGCGUUGUCCGGAAUCAUUGGGCGUAAAGGGCGCGUAGGUGGCCCAGUAAGCGGGCGGUGAAAGCUCGGGGCUCAACCCCGGGUCGGCCGUGCGAACUACUGGGCUGGAGCACUGUAGAGGCAGGCGGAAUUCCGGGUGUAGCGGUGGAAUGCGUAGAGAUCCGGAAGAACACAGGUGGCGAAGGCGGCCUGCUGGGCAGUUGCUGACACUGAGGCGCGACAGCGUGGGGAGCAAACAGG